ensembl:lncRNA
UCUCUCUCUCACACUCACUCACUUCCGUUUUGACCCAAUAUGGCGCCGGGUGUCUUACCUGCCUGUCAGACUGACGAGUCACGCCUGCGUCAUAUUUGGGGGCGGGGCCCUCUUAUAACGAGAGUACGGGACACCUCUUCCGAGCCGGACACAGGCAGGUGAGGGGGCUUGCUCUUGGAGUUACAGUGUAGCCGGGCUGGUCACAUGAGACACCGGGUGAGAAGAGAGACUUUAUUAUUUGGUGAAGGCGGUGCGUUGUAGGCUAAUGGUUCCGUAACCAUGAAGAGCCCACAGUCAGAGUGCAGAAUAUGACUCUGAUCAAUACGGAGCUAUUCAGGCGAUGAACUGAAAUAUGCUGCAGAUACAGCUGUACUGUCUGGGCGUGGACUUCUGGCGCUGUGGUGACAUCUGCUGGCAGAUGAUGUCUUAGAUUUAUGGAUGUAAAAUGAACUGGAUAGGUGGAAGCAAGAUGGCUCCAUCUGCCCUUCAUAAAACCAGACUGGCCCUAGGACAAGUGAACUGGAAUGCAGCCCUAGGACAAGUGAACUGGAAUGCAGCCCUGGGACAAGUGCACUGGAAUGCAGCCCUAGGACAAGUGAACUGGAAUGCAGCCCUGGGACAAGUGAACUGGAAUGCAGCUCUAGGACAAGUGAACUGGAAUGCAGCCCUAGGACAAGUGAACUGGAAUGCAGCCCUGGGACAAGUGAACUGGAAUGCAGCCCUAGGACAAG